GUGGUCCAGCCGGCCAGCCCCGGGGCAAGGCCCCAGCUGUCACGCGGGAGCCCCGCGUCCCUCAGUAGCGAGGGCAAUGCCUGAACUUUCCGCUUUGUCUUCUUUUUCCUGGCCCUUUAGAAUGAAGGUGUGCAGCCCCGAGGCCUGCAGGCCAUGGGAGGCCUCCCUGGGCACGGCUGUGGAAAAUGCGCAGAUUGAAGGGUUCACACAGUGGGGACUCCAAAGAAUCCUGACAGUCACAGGCUGAGGACCAGAAAUCCUGUUAGCAGCAGUAGAACAUUUCCUGUGAAAGCACUGACUUCCUCUUCAAUCUCUGUCUUUCAUGAGUCUCGAGGAAAUUGCGUAAAACCCUGACAAAAGAUUGAACUUUUUUUUCUAGCUUUAUGAGACAUUAAAACAAACAAAAACCAACUAAUGUUUUGGUUUCCCAACACUUUCCCCUCCACUGCCACCGUUUCACAAGAAUGGGAUCUUAGGAAGAACUGCCCUGUGGCCCACCAUUCACACCAGGCUGCUUAAGCCAUUUGAAAAACAAAUGUGAAUUUGAACGAUAUGUGAUGUGGCCAAAUGUCUACCUUGAAACCAUUCUCAUCAGUAUUUUUUCGAAGGAACACGUACACAGAUCAAAACAAUGGAGAAGAUAACAAGGAGACAACAAGUUGUGAAGAAUGUGACGUCCUAGGAAAAUGACGAUGUGUAACUACACAAUGGGAAAAAACAGAGAGGAACCUGGAGCUGGGGCUGUCCUUCUGUUCCCCGUCAGCCUGGACAACCUCUGAGCUCCUGGCAUUUCUGGUCCUGGGGAGCUGCCAGCCUGCACAGUGCCAUGACAGACCAACAGCAAAGAUUCUGCUCAGGACUGUACACGGAGUGACAAAAAACAGAGUGGUGAAAGUCAAUGAAGAAUCAGAAUCUGCAGAGAAAGUUGGAGGACAGACAGUGGUUGUGGACACAUCAGGAAUUUUGAUUGUUUUUACUGUUAGUUAUGUAUGUGGGGACAGUCCUAGAUAUCUCUUAACAACUUUCACCGUGAAAAACUCAAGAAUGCAAACUGGAGAGUAAUUUCACCAAAUCUCAAAUUCAGCAAUCUCUGGAAUUUCUGUUCAGGUGUGCUUGAUGCAGUCUUGCUACAGGCUUGGGUUGGAGUGUGGAUCUGAGGCUAAAUUGUGUCCAGAUUUAACUUUCAACAGACAUGUUAUGAUGUGAACUCUUCCCUUUGAAUGUUUCUUCACAAGAAGAGAAUGAUGAGAGCCACUUUCAUCUAUUGGUGGAAGUAUAACUCAAGCAUCACAGUCUCCGGCUACUGAGAACCCUAGCUGAUUUUUGGCCAACCUUUAUUGGAUUUUGGUUAUGAGCACAUUGUGUUUACCAAGACUUAUUUUUUUAUGUGAGAACUAAGCCAUAUCUCGAAUCUCACUGGUAUCCCAUGACUCACAUCUUUUCAUCGAGUGUUUUGUUACUGAUUUGACAGUAAGCAGGAAUUAGGUUACUUCUUUGUAUUUAGUUAGUUUUAAGUCUUUAGACUUACGUGAAUUAGUACUAUCAUUGAUAAUGGGAAUGAAUUCACUUCAGGAAUCACUUCAGAACUUUAUCCUGAUCAUUAAGAAAUAGGACUGUAGAAAGGAUGAUCUGGGUUACAGUGCUGUUACAGCUACUAGCUUACUGGGGAAAAGUCACUAAGUUUUCUCAUGCUUCAGUUUUCUGUUUGCAGCAUUCCAGUUUUUCCUCACAAUGUGCUGAGAACUUCACCUUCUGAUUAUGGAAAGAUGGCUAUUAAGGAUUGUUUAUUAUUUACAGUGCCUUUUAUUUUUAAUAAUCAUUGUCAACCAGGAGAAUCUCUCCAGACACCAUGAAAAUAAUUAAAGAGAGCAAGACAAUAAAGAUAAAAACUUCUUUAAUUAUUUUUUAAUAGGGCUUUUGUUGGAUUACAAAAUGUCACUGAAAUAAUAACAACAUAAAAUAAGAGAUUUGUUUCUCUUUUUCAUUUUCCAGAGCCGGUGAUCUGUAACUGCCUGUUAGCUGUUACACAAUCAUGUCUCUUGGUAUGCAUUUAAUACUUUAAGUAUGCCCCUGAUUAUAUGAAAGCUUGAUUAUUCCAACAUCUUUUAGGUUCUGUGUGAUAAUCAAGGCUGUGCUGGAAGGACCUGGUCUAAUGCCAGCUGUUGGCAAAGCAAGACCCAACACUUUUAAAUCCUGCAGGCAGUAUUAUGGGUUUUCUAAAUCCAUGUUCCCUGAGGGGAACCUGUGUAGCUUCAAAUUGGACGACAGUAAACAACAUGGGUCUCUGCCAUGAUUUUUCUCUGAUGUUUCACAUUGCAUUGCGAAAAAAAAAAUUCUUCAACUCUUAUGUUUCCAAAGAGUUGUUUGGAAAAUUUAAAGCAGAUGUAAAUAGCCUCAUGACAGAGGCAAUCUGAAAGUUGAAAUUUCCCCUCAGUUCAGUCUCACUUUUUAACUUCUCAGUAAUGGUUUUGUCAGAUUGAGUUUCAGAUCUCCUCACCAUUUGUUUAUCUGUGGUCUGAAUAACAGAAUCAAGAAGGUUAGCAAAAUUACUCAAACAGCAAAGGGACCGAUAAACUAAGAGAUUCCUUAAAAAUCCUUUACAUAGGAAAGUAUAUAAAUAGGUAAUAUUAGGUAACUAGAUAAAUAAGUAGAUAAACUGUGGAUGAAUAAACAAAUAGGCAAACUGUAGUAAAGAUAUAUUAUAUCAUCUAUUGUAUAAUUCCUGCGUUUCCUAGGUUGACCUAUAUUAGACAUCUGCUUUAGAGCAAGUUUAAUCACAUUCUGGGAGUACCUGUUUCUCACCAUUGGAUAAAAAGCUAGGGUAAAAUGAUCGCACCGUGCAUAUUCAGGUAGAUGAGAUAAAUCCCAUCCUCAGAAGCUCCAACUUUUGAUAGUGGUUUGGCCUCAGUUUUACUAAACCUAACUGGAAAGCAAAAACCAUAGUACCAAAUCAUACCGUGGUCAAUACUAAAAUGUCUUAUUCCUGGAAUUGUGUUUCAAAUCUGAUUUUGUAGUCAAGAUUCUGUUGCACAAUACUGUAUCCUCACUCCUCCACAAUAAAUACUUCCAGUUAGUUGUUAGUGUUCUAGCUGAUUUUACAAAAGUCAUCUGUUUCAUUCUCUUCCUUUAAAAUGAGGAUAAUACUUUCUUACCAUUAUGCUUUUGUGAGGGUGGAGUGCUUCCAUUAGUGUGCAACGUGAAAGAUGUUAUUAGUUGGUUUCAUAUCUUGCAGUUCAGCAUGCUUUUAGAUACAAUUUCAAACGACAUCUGCAACAAAUAAUUUUAAGUUGCUAACAUUUUGGAAUAUUUUGUACUGUAAAUGGAAAUCCUUCUAUGGUUCCAAACUCUAAAAAGUAGAUCAAAAGCUCUAUUUGAAAUGGGGAUUUUUCCUCAAAUAAUGUAAAUCUGCUUCUGAUUAUUUCUCAUCAAAAGACUUACCUUUAUCUGAGGACUCUGCUCCAGUUCCUUUUUUCCUCCCUUAUUCCUCUGUCUCUGCAUACAUUUUAAAGUCUAAUUUAGGCUUCCAACACCAUACUAAAUGUUAUCUAUUCUCUUAGAUCCUUAUUUAACUGUUCUUGUCUUAAUUUCAUCUCUCACAAUUGUAACUCAUUAUUCAGGUUAUUUCUCACAAGAUUGAUUUGAGUAUUAAAGGAUCAUUUACUUUUCCAUUAUAACAGCCACUUCAGGUUAUAAAUUCUGACUGUAAGGAGAAAAUGUGCUUAUCCGUUUUGUCAGCAUUUGUGUAAAACAGGACUGGGCUUGUGUUGAAGAGACUAUCAUGGCUGCUACAGUUUCUUUCUUUCCAUUUUCUGUGGAUAAUCCUGCUGUUGAAUCUCUUGCAUGCUGAAUUGUAGAGGAAAAUGCUUGAUUUUUGUUGACAUUUUCUGAUGUGUAUUGAGUGAAUGCCUGAAAUAAGAGGAUCUUUCCAUCACUUGCAAGUGCUAAGAGUUGCUGCUUGGAGGAGCAGAUGGUUCAGGUGAUUACUAGCUAUGGCUCUACGGCUUAUGUUGCUACUGUUGGGAACCGUUAUGGCUUUUCUUUCUAUGUGUUGCAUUCUAAACUUGUAAGAGCUUGCUGGAGGCUGGUGACAUUUUAUGUUCACUUCAGACAGUGUAUUUUGCAGAAGAACUUCAACUCUCCACCAUGGGGGCUUUUAUUCUUCCGUGUCAGGCUGGUUUGGUGGCAGUGGUUGCAAUUCUGACUGAGUUCUCAAGGAGUUCAUCAGAGAUUUUUGAUGAAAUGUUAUUCUUCCUGUGCUUCAUCUUUCAAAACAGUUGUUCACAAAUGUACGUACUGCUAAAAGCAAUGAUACGAAUAAGGUGUGACUGUGAAGUGACGGAUAUUUCUCUCUGGUAAGAGGGGGCUUAUAAAAGUCUGGCAAAGAGUCAUGACUAAAGUUUUGGUUGCGUUUCCAUACAUUCCAUUUGAAAAUAUGCAGGUGAUGUAUUUAUGUCAACUGCAAAUGGAAUUGCAAGUAUAUUUUAAAAAACUGAUAUUUUGGCAAUCUUGAAACCUAUUCUCAAAUUCCUUUAUCAAAACCAGAAAGCAUGGCUGCAUGUUUUUCACUCUUCACGGGUCUGUGUUUAGCCAGUGUAUCAAAAUACAUAGAAUUAUUUGCCAUAACUUGAGUUAGCACUGUACUACACCCCAUGCCCCAGUUUCAGCCCAGAUAGGGCUAAGAGCACACUGAUGUUUGGCUGUUAUUGAGUGAUGGGUGCAUGCCCAGAGUUGGGCUGGGCCAGGCCAUUUGAUGGGGAAGAGCUGCCGCCAUAAUGGCGCAGGGCAGGGGGCAGCCACAUUGCAUGCUGUGUUGGACCACAUGCAGUCCAUGGGCCACACGUUGGACAUGCCUGGCAUAGCCAAUAUGAGGCAUCAUGGCCUUGCAACCAUUUUGCAGCAGCACUGAGUUGUUCACCUGGGUCCUGCCCAGUUCCUCCUGCACUGCACAGGGCCCUAGCUCUGCUCUCAGGCUGUCAGCCCUUGUCCCAUAGAGGCUGCAUCAGGCUCCCCACAGCUCUGCUCAGCCAUUGGGCCCAACGAGCCAGGUCCACACACUGUGGACACACUAGACACAGGCCUGUACUUGGCCUGUCCUGAUCCCCUGGAGUGCCCAAGGUUGGGGCUGCCUUGGUGCCCUACACCUACACCCUACAGCCUGGCACUCCCACAGCUCUGAGCUCUCCUAGCCCUAGGAAGCUGCUGGCCCAUAUGGUGCUAUGACAAGACCCUCUCCAGUGCUUAAUGUAAUGCUGCUCGCUUACAUCCUGCAACAGUCAGAUUUUAGUGCUGGUUUUAUAUGAGUGAGUGCUUGGGAGACGCUGACACUCGUAAAACGAAGCACAGAAAAUCUUGUUAGUGACUUGUCAUAAUUUUCCCCGCUUACUUCAUGGGGGCAGACUAAACAGUUACUUGGCUCUACACAGAAGGGCCCAGCAGCUUUCCCCAGCCUCCAGACAGUGACGCUGAUUAAUCACAGGGCCAUAAGUUGAAACAACGCAGAGUACAUUUACUGUGCAGUUCCAUGUGGAAACCCACUGAGUAAGAAAUUUUAGAUAUCUGGAGGAGAAUGGCAAAGUGGCAACAAAGAGUUUGCCAACGUAUGUCUCUCUUGUCAAUUAUUUACAAGACCUAACUGUGCUGUGAGCAGGCUCAUCUGUGCAAGGCUUGGAAUGCCAAGAGCAACUUGGAGGACUUGUACUUCAGUGCUGCAAGACUUGGCCUGGUGUUAGCCCCUGUGGAGUGCAGCAGUGGUGGCCCUGAAGCAGACAAGACCUAAACAUGGAUGUUUCUGAAGCUAAACAUUGACUGUUCAGCAGCUGACAAGACUAAAGAACCUAAACAUUGCUCUGGAAAUAAAUUAUAAACUGAGAUGGAUUCAUUCCUGGCAAUAUUCAGCAAAUCAGUUCUACCUGUUUUCUCUACCUGAAAAAUAAGUUUUGGUUGCCUCUAAGCACGUGGGAGCAAGUGAGUGUUCUAUCAGUGGUGCUGGUUCCACAACUGUGAUGUAAAUAAAUCCCAGGUGUUGUGAUGUUAUAUAUUUGACCACACAGCUGCUAACACUUUCUAGUGAUUUGCAUCUUUGUAUUUGUAGGAGCUUCCUAUCUAUAAGAGUGUGUUUCAUUCACUGAACUGGGAAUCCUUAAGGCAGAACCAGGUGCUUUGAAAAGGAGCAAAAGUGAAGACUACCUCCACCAAAGGGACAUUUUGUAGGUGAAGAAAUCGUAAGUGAGCACACCUACUGCCACCAGCUGCCCUCUCAGACUUCACUGAUGGAUUAACUGUGAACAGAUUUUCACACUGGAAUCACAUCCUGUUCUUUCAAUAAAUGAUAUAUCAAAAUUAGAAUCAAAUUUUAUGUCGCUGUUAUACAAGAAGCUCAGCUCCUCAACCAGGUGAUCUGCAAGUGGGGACAUACUACAAAUCUUCAUGGAAGGUCUGCUGCUGCUGAUCAUAAUACCUCUGCACUUAUUGUCAAUGCGGUCCCCUGCAACCAGCUGUUUUCUUCAUCUCUCCCAGGUCCACAGUCUGAGGAACUCUCCUGCAGGGGGAUGUCAUCCAUCCCACACUUUGUUCUGCUCCAUUCUUAUUUGUCUUGCAUAGAUUUCAUAUAGUCCCUAUCCUGCAAGGGGAAUGUCAUAUAAAUGAACCAAGGAUGAUACACACAAUAAAAGUAUCAAUUUUCAAUUAUAUGACCUUCAGGCUCAUGAGCAGUUUCACUGAUUGCUUCAUCUCUCCUUCUGUAUCACCCAGUGCUAUGGUCCACUUUCCAGCAUAACUGUCAGCUACAUGCUUAAAAAAAUUCUGCAGGGCAUAAGUCCUUCAGAAAUUGCUUCACCAUGAAACAUCACUACAAAGAAACAGCACUGUUAGCAGGAAGAAUAGACAACCCUGCAAAACCCAGUCUCAGUCUUGGAUCAUAACUCACAAGAAACAGAGUUAUAACACCAUCUGCUAGAGUGCUUCCUUCUGCUUUACACUGAUUAAACACAGA